CUGGGAAGGAGUUCAGCAAACAUCUCUAUUACUGUGACAUUGAAGUCAGUGAUGAUCAUGAAUAUCCUCAGGCUGACUCUGGUGGUCGUGCUGGUUCCAGUGCUGGUCUGGACUCUGUGGACGAGGAUGAAGAAAACUCUGAGCUUGAAAUCAGAAGCGAAUGAAG